UCACCUGGUAACCAUGCACAUGGUCAUCAAUCCAUCCUCUAAUGCAGCCCUGCUGGGUAAAACAAGCUGGGAUCUCACUGGGGAACCUUUGUGGGCCUUCACACUCUCCAUACCUGUCACUCUUCCUACUCUAGCCUCCCUCGUGUGCCGUGUAACGUCCAUCCCUGCCACUCCCAUCCGGUCCUCACACACUGACUUCCAACACCCUUCAAGUCAGACUUUCCACCAAGCUGCUUCGGUUGUCCACAGCUCCAUUCUUUUCCGAAUGCUUGUUCCGUCUCUGUAUGCUUUCACGCUUAAUCAUAGACUCCUUGUUACUGUAUUAUUUAUGUCAUAUAAUUAUCCUCCCAUAUAUGUGCUUUCCCAUACAAAUUGGAUUAUGUGGACAAAACUCUAGUUCUUUGCUCAACAGAUACUUAGAUAAUGUCUUACUUAGCUCAUACUGGGCCUGAUGCAAGAUUUGGAACUAGACACACCACACACACACACACACACACACACACACACACACACACACCACUGAAUGCAUGAAUGAGUUCAGGUCAAACCAUGCCACUCAGCUUGGUGCCUGAGAACUUCAAAAGGGAGAAAUACCCAGCCAGGAUUUCCUUGAUUUGGAGCAGAAAAAGGACAUGCCACCAUGGCAGCUUUUAACAUGUGACCUUCUGGAGGGGGGCUCAGGAAACCCCAAGGGACAAUUCCUUCCACAUCCAGGGAGUUUGCUUUCUGCUGACUGCUCCAUGGCAGUUCCUGAUUUGGGGAGUUCUCAUAUGCCUCCUUCACUAUUCCUUUCCAAGAGACAGCCCAGCGGAAGGCCGGGCCAGAGCCUCCUCUCUCCACUGAGUUUGACACACCCGCUUGCUCGCUCUCUACCAAGCUUCCUCAUAUUCUUGUCCCUCGGGGCCAGCAACUAACCUAAUAUUCCCACCAGACAGAAUUCCUUCCUGAAGACACUGGGCUUCGGAAACAGCAAUCAGAACACUGCCUCUCUCUGCAAUGUGUGGGCAGCUGAGCUCUGCCAGGGGAGCUGAGGCCGAGAGAGAGGCCAGGCCUCUGCAUGGUUUCCUGAGCCUGCAUCUUGUUUGGGGAUGGGUUCUGCUGUGCUGUGCUCCCUGCUCUCCGGGCUGGAGCUCCAGUGCGGUGAGCCACAUCCUGAAGACUUCCAGCUUGGCACUGCUGCCCAGGACGCUCUUUUCCUCUUUGCGACAGCCCAGAGCAUCGAUGCCCAGGAAGGCCUCAAAGAAUGGUAAAACUGGGCUGUGCAUCACUCUAAAUGGGAUGGUGCUGACUGAGGAUGCUUCCUGAGGAAGAGGCUCAGCAUCCCACCUUCCCCUGUACACUAUGCCCCUAGAAGGACCUGACCUGUCUACCUGUGGGUAAGAGCACAUGGCCCUGCGCCUGGCUGCUUUGGCGUUUCCCUUUACUUCUGUAGUCCUGUCUCCUCAGCGUCCCUCUGAGUUGAGGGGAGAGGAGCAGACUGUGGCCAGGAACAGACAGUGCAGGGGAGAUCACCUACACAACCAUUGAUAAACGUGGGUGCCAAAGCACUCUCAGGAAUGGUGCUGACAGCCUGGUGGUGCGGUAUUUGAAGGCUGUUUCAGAAGACCACAAAAAUGUCACCAUUGGCCUCUGAGUAAAGCCCAUGGCCUGUCCAGUGCCAAUGUCCUAGGUUAGUGUGUUUCAGUCAGCAUUCAGUAAGAUGUUGACACCGGGAGCCGGGUGUGGUGGUUCACACCUGUAAUCCCAGCACUUUGGAAGACAGACAGAGGCAGGAAGA